AGAUACAAGUUCAGGGGCAAAGAACUUCGAGGGAAGACAGCUAAAAUGAGUUCUUCGGAAGAGGAUGAUUUCGAUGAUCUGAAGACCUAUUUCUCAAAGAUGGAAUGGACCCAUCUAGUGAAAUGUGAGAAAGUUCGGUACAGAAACUUGAAGAGGAACCACCUGGCUAUGCUUACUAUAGAUGGGAUGACUCGCACCAGACAGUAAAGUCAUACAGAGCCUGUCCGUGCUUGGUCUCAUCCCCUUCGAGGAGACUGACCAAAGCAGUGUCGGCAGCAUAUUUGACCAGGUGGUGCCCUGGGAACUGGCUCCGGCAGCUGUCUGUAUACAAUAUUAAUGCUAUUAUA